UGGAACGUGGACUUGGGCAUUGUCGUGUAACAACGACUGGCCUGAAAUGAAUAAGUGUACCCUGCUGCUGCAGCGUCUUCAGUGUGAUAAGCAUCUUCACUGAUAAAAGUUCCUUUGGGACACGAAUGCAAAGUGGGCUCUAUGCUUCCAACCGUCUGUUAACAGACAAUCUUUGACAAUUUGGCCUCAAAUCGGGUGGGACUACCCGCUGAACUUAAGCAUAUCAAUAAGCGGAGGAAAAGAAACUAACAAGGAUUCCCCUAGUAACGGCGAGUGAAGAGGGAAAAGCUCAAAUUUUGAAUCUGUCGUCUUUGGCGAUCGAGUUGUAAUCUAGAGAAGUGUUUUCUGCCUUGGACCACACAUAAAUUCCCUGGAAUGGGGUGUCAAAGAGGGUGAGAAUCCCGUUUGUGGUGUGGACUCCCUUGGCUCUGUGAUACACUCUCAACGAGUCGAGUUGUUUGGGAAUGCAGCUCAAAAUGGGUGGUAAAUUCCAUCUAAAGCUAAAUACUGGCGAGAGACCGAUAGCGAACAAGUACCGUGAGGGAAAGAUGAAAAGCACUUUGGAAAGAGAGUGAAACAGUACGUGAAAUUGUUGAAAGGGAAGCGUUUGAAGUCAGUCACGUUGUCUGGGACUCAGCCUUGCUUCUGCUUGGUGUACUUCCCAGUUAACGGGUCAGCGUCAGUUUCGACCGUGGGAGAAAGACUUGGGGAAUGUGGCUCCUCGGAGUGUUAUAGCCCCUUGUUGUAUGUCUCGGUUGG
rnacentral:rRNA from 1 species